rnacentral:lncRNA from 1 species
GUUAUACAUUAACUCUGAUUUACACUUUUCUUUAGAAGUCUGAUUAGUGCAAGAGUUUGUCCUAUAUAGUUUUGGCAAUUUCAGUGCUAACCAGCAACUUGUUUUUACCAUCGAAGGUUUUAGGGCAGAUCUCAUUUAGCUACGGCCACAGAACCUUAGGUUUUACAUAAGCAAGACCAGGCAAGUUUUAGAGACUUAUUGGAAGAAUUAUUUUAUUUUAAGUGAAAGAUAUCUACAUAUCUGUGUUAUGUUACAUAUCCAUAUUUACAUAUCUGUGUCAUGUUAAUUAUAUUUAUCGUCUAUUUACAGGCUAUGUCUAGGUGAUUUCUGUACUUAGACUUCCCGGUUUAAUUUUCCCAUUAGUUUACUCUGCCUAGUUCCAUGAAGCUUUUUUCCCUAGAGACUUUUUUCUUCUUCCAUUAGUUUUUAUAAUCUUCUCUUGAGUUUUUAACUUUCUUCUUCACUUUUCUUGGGGUGUCUUUUGUUCUAUUAUUUUUUCCAUUUCUGCCAGCUAAGUGUUCCUUUUUUUUUUCUGUAGACAGAAUCAAAAGCACAUAGAAUUUCAGAAUUUUAAGGAAUCUUAGUGGCUAAUCAAAAUAACCUCUAGUACUUAAACCUAUGUUUAACAUUCUGGUCAAGUGGUUAUUCAGAUGGAGAACCUGAAACUUAAGGAGGUUAAAGUGACUUAUUUGGAUACAGGAAGUGGCGGAAAUGAGAUUUGAAGUCCUUUGAAAGCCCAGUCCUCUCCCUUCUUCAUCAUCCUGUCAGUGUGCAUUUUAAUAAUAGGGAAGGUGGGAGUAGUGAACACAGUGGAAGAGGAAAAGAAUGGAAUCAACUGAUGAACCCAAUGGAAGAGGAUAGGAAUGAAAGGAGUAGGGGAAGGCCUAGUUUGAAGAGAACACUGAGGCUUUCCGGCAAACAGGCGAUCAAUGAUUUACAGCCUACAUCAGCUAAGGAAGACCGUGAUUGUGAUAUCAAGGUAAAGUGCUCACAUGUGAAAUUAAUUUCCUCAUUAUGAAUCUAGUUUUCUAUAUAAUUUACUCUUAAAAUUUAGCAGUGGUCAACCUGUCAUUGUUUUAUGUUUGUAAUGGAAAGUUGGUUACAAAAAAGCAUUUUAAAGAAAUAUGAAUAAUUGAAUUUGUAAAAAUUGUACUUUGGUAAAUAAUAGAUUGUUAAAUACUAAGAGGGUGUGUGGGUGAGAAAAGGAAUGUGCUGGAAAAUGAUUAUAUUGUGACAGAAAAAUUAUAUUUGGCUAAGCUUUCUCACAAUACAGGAAAUUUGAAAUGUGGUCAGGGUUUAUUUGGAUGAGUAUGCUUUCUGUGACUUUUAAAUUCAUACUAACAUGACUUUUAUAAUACUUAUGCCUAAAUAAAUUAUUAUCAUAGUAAUCAUGGACUCUCCCUGGUGCAUUUUAGUUCCAAAACUGUACAGCAGAUAGCAUAUAGUUUCUUUGUUAAUAUUUUGGUAUCAUAUACUUCUUAGGAUAGCACUCUUUCCCUAUUUCUAUCCUUGGUUCUGUAAUUAGACUAAUACUAGAAAUUGUGAAAAUUUAGUUGAGUAUUGUGGUACGUGCCUGCAAUCUCAGCUACUUGGGAGUUUUAGGUGGGAGGAUUUUUUGAGCCAAGGAAUUUGAGACCAAAUUGGCCAACAUAGCAACACUGCUUCUCUCAUAUAAAAAAAAAUUGUGGAAAUUUAGAAAUGUAAAUUUUCUUUCUCCAAAUGUACAUUAUAAAGGGAUUCCGUUGUGUUUUCUAAGUCACUUAAUUAAGAACAUACUUAAAACUCCUCAAAUUGAAGAAUUUGGACUAAUGGGCUAGGACAUGCUUUGCCCAAAAUAACAACCAGUUCUAGAAGCAGAGACUCUUAAUAACCAUAGGGUAAGGCUUUGAUUUCAGAAUUUUUUUGCAUCAUACUUGUUACAGAUUUACACUCAAAAUCUUUGUAUCACAUUUAAAAACUCCAAAUGUAAGAAGUCUCUGUAUUUAGUUAUUUAAAUAAUCACUUUAAAGCCCCUGCAUUAGUAUAAGCUACUGGAGGUUAGGAAACACACCUGUUUAUAUCCUGGAGUAGCUAGAAUAAAGUCUUGCCUGUAAGAAGCAUUUUAAUAUUUUGUAAUGUGAAUACUUGAACAGACAAAAGGAUUUCUAUAUAAUGGAAUGUUACAAUUAACAUGAGAUACAUACCUAAUAAUGAAAUCUAUGGCAUUUCUAAAGUAUGGCUUAAAUGUAUAGUCCCUUUCAAUGUUUAGGAUGUAUAAAUUCAGAUGAGUUAUAUUGGGAAAAUAUGUCAUAAAUAAGAAAGAAAUAUGCCAUCAAAUAGGAAAGAGGGUUACAGUAUACUUUGCAGUAUUGUCCAACUAUAAGCUUAGGUUAGGAUUUUAGAUUUAAAAUUUUUAAACUUUUUAAACCCCAACCCAUGUUCUACUAAAUAUAUCUUUUCAAGCCAUAGAUUACUCUUUAGAAUUAUGAUUACUAAUUAUUUCUCCAAGUGGAAAGUUUAUGGAACAUUUCUUUUUCCAUUUCUCUCUCCCUCUCUAUAGUAAUAAUGGUCCAUCUUUCAGGUAGUUGUAGAUGACCAUGUUUAAAUACUUGAAUGUAUUGUUUUAUGGUAUAAAAUUAAGCUCUUAGAGAAAUAUUU